GCUAGAUUGCUCCCGGUCAUUAGUGUGGAUAAGUAUAUAAAUGGAUAGAGAUAGGAAAGCAAACACAAGAUGUACGUGGUUCACCCAGAUUGGCUACGUCCACGGAAUAGAAGAGUUCUCAUUAAUUGUGAAGGGUUUACACAAGUACAUAGGUUCAAGCUCUCAUUUAGUGAGUACAAGUGAAUGAUUUAGUACAAAUGACAUUAGGAAAUAUUGUGGGAGAAUGAUCUCGUAAUCACGAAACUUCUAAGUAUCGGAGUGUGGUGUCGUCUUGACUUGCCUUAUCUGUCUCAUAGGUAGAUGUGGCAUCUUCUCUGGAAGUACUCUUCCUCCAUCCAGGGGUGGUAUCU
rnacentral:lncRNA from 1 species